UUAAUUGAAGAGUUUGAUCAUGGCUCAGAUUGAACGCUGGCGGCAGGCCUAACACAUGCAAGUCGAGCGGCAGCACAGAGGAACUUGUUCCUUGGGUGGCGAGCGGCGGACGGGUGAGUAAUGCCUGGGAAAUUGCCCGGUAGAGGGGGAUAACCAUUGGAAACGA
rnacentral:rRNA from 1 species